rnacentral:piRNA from 1 species
UAGGCUGGAGCGUCUUGGAUGUGGCCUUC